ensembl:lncRNA
UUCUAAGAAAAGGAUGACGUUCCUAAUAAUUUGUUUAUUUUUGUUUUUUGAGUGUAGAUAGACAGAGUUUUCCGCAAUGGGAGCCAAGAGCAGCAAAGGAGAGCCUUGCCUGCCCUACCUGCUGACUAGACCGGUGAGGGUAAUGGCAGAUAAGUGGGGCAGGGACAUUCUGGAACAGGCACAAGGCAGCAGACUCCCCUUGAACGGCACAAUAAGUGAAGCCGUAUUAGCAGAAUGUAGAAAGAAGUUGCAGGACUUUGAGACAACCAAGAAAGGCAAAGCAAGUAGGAUAGAUUGGGAUGAUUUUAGGAAAUGGGAAAGAGAAGCAGAACACAGGGCUGAUAGGAAAGUUGAAGGCAUCAUGGUAAAAGAAAGUAAGAAAGAAAGAAGGACUGAUGGGGGAAAAAAAGAGAAAUAGGAAUGACAAUGAUUUUUCCACCCUCGAUAUUACACCCCUCCGUGUCUCCUACACCUCCCCAGCCAGUGCCUCCCCUUCCAGCCCCGGCCCCAGCUCCAACGGUCCCACCGCCUAUCUAUCCUGACCUGAACCUGAUUGACUUGGUGGGAGGGGCCAGUUCCCUAACAAACCCUCGCGACCCAUGAGGAAUCAGAAUCCGUUUUACACACCACCCACAUUGACUCCCGUGUCUGGUGUUGAUGGCCUCUGGGCACUCAGUCCACCAUCAAUGUCAACCCCUAGAGGUCUGAAUUGCUCUCCAUCCCCCUCAACCGUAACAACAAGAACAGGCCCAAAAGGGGACCCCAACAAGACAUCUCUUGCCCAGGCACCCCUGGGUACGUUCCCAAAUCCACAACCUCAAACGGCUCCGAAUGAUCCUGGCCAUGUUGAUUGGCACCCAGAGGCCCGUAUCCAGAGUACCUGGAGACAAGACGAGAUGAAGGAGCUUGCCAAGGACCUCCCUGACCCCACCAAGGAUGCAGGUGAUUUCACCACACCUGCUUAACUGGUCAGGCUGUACAAACCAUCUGUAGCCGAAGUCGCCCACAUUUGCAGCAUCAAGAUGAGGUUGCGAUGGGCAGACGUGGAAGGCUAUCAGACUCAACUGACUUCUCUGUGUGAUCAUAUUAAAGAACUUCACCCACCUAUGACUGAUUGGGCAGCUGUCCAUAGCUGCACACAAAAGGCCAAAAAGUAAGGAAGGAAGAUUACAGGCACAGACUUGAGAACUGUUUCCGUAAACACAGUGACAUCAGACCAGGCACUGAUGACUACAACAUCCUCCUGAAGGACUACUACUGAAUGGACUACUAUCGGGC